GCCACGGAGCAUGCGCACUGGGAGAGAUAUCCGGAAUGAAAUGGUCCUCCAUGAGAGCCACAAGUGCAUUCAACAACUUGAAAACUGGAUUGAAAUGAGAGACAGAGCAGCCACUCCAGAAGCUUCCAAAAUCACACUGCACCUUCUUGACCUGCUGCAAUCCACGUGGUGAAGUAGCUCCCAUGUUGCUGUUUGGAUGUGGACUUUGGUGGCUUGGCCAGAAUUUAUUGCCCAUCUGUGAUUGCCCAGAGGGCUAUCAAGUGUCCACUGCAAUGCUGUAAGGCUGGCGUCACAUAUCGACCAAACCAGGGAAUUGGAAAGGGAGCAUCUACUGACAGAAAGCUCAACUCAAACACUGGAUCAGGAACUGCCAGGAACAUUUAAUUCUCUGGAGCUUUGAACAAGGAAGGAACAAGCAUCGUUUACAGUGAAGAGAAACCAUACACGUGGUCUGUGUGGACAAGCCUUCAGUCAGUCGUCUGCCCUAAGAAGAGGCUUGUGAUUAUAGGAGGGCAAUCGUCUCAGCUGCAGGAGUUCCUCAGGAUCAGGUUCUAGUCCCAACCACCUUCAGCUGUUUCAUCAAUGACCUUCCCUGCACCAUAAGGUCAGAAGUGGGAAUGUUUGCUGAUGCUUGCACAAUACUUGAGCACCGUUUGUGGCUCCUUGGAUACUGAAGCAGUAGAUAUCUAAAUGCAGUGAGCCUGGACAACAUUGACGUGAGCUUGCCAUGCGACAAAGAACAUUUGCACCAACAAGUACCAAAAAAUAAUGACCAAAUCUGAGAAAUGAGAAUCUAACCACAGCCAAGUGACAUUCACUGGGUGUAUCUUUAUGGAAUUCCCCAUUAUCAUCAUCCUGGGGGCUAAUAUUGAUGAGAAACUGAAAUGGACCUACCAGCUGAAUAAUGUGCCUGCAAAAUACGUCUAACCCUCUCAACCACCUGAUCUUCCUGUCCAACCACGUUCAGGGAUUUGUGAAUGUUCACUCCAAGAUCUCUUUCUUCUUCUACACCACUUGCUAUUCCUCACUUUCAUAGUUCAGUCUCGAAAAAAUCAUUAUCACUCACUCCUGUGGAUUCAAUUCCUUUCACCAUUUUAUCUUUCAACUUGAUUGAUAUCUCCCUGCAGUCCAUAAUUUUUUUUUGUCAUGGUCAACGAUAUGAUUACUUACUGCAUGUCAUGUGCAAACUUCUAAAUUAUGGCUUCUACAGCUAGGUUUUAAUGAUGGUUAUGUUUCACAAAACAGUGGAACUCCACUGGAUUAAAAACUGAAAGGACUGCAAAUGCUGUAAAUCAGAAACAAAUAAAAAGCAGAAAUUACUAGAAAAGGUCAGCAGAAGUGGCAGCAUCUGCAGAGAAAAAUCUUAAGAUAAUAUUUCAGUGUGAGUAACCCUCAGAAUUUCACUGGAAACAGACAACCAGAUAUGGUUCAUUUUUAGUUGGGGAUUUGCAGCAGCUAUAAAAGCAGAAUAUAACUGUAUAUGAAUUUGUAGGUGUCUCCGGAAUUUAUUUUGCUGAGCGAUGCCUUCACACACACGGGAAUGGUGAACAACCUCUCCCCAGUGUGUCUGAGUGAAUCAGUUUCCACCUCAGUGGGUAAUUGAAUCCUUCCCUCGGUUUCUCUGUGCUGUGGGUGUCCUUGUCUCUGUCCGGAUUGGACGAUGAGGUGAAUUGAAAUCAAUGCAGAGAGAAGGCCCAGUUUUCCCUGUUGUGAAUGUGUUUUUAAUCUUCCUUAUUCUCCCAUAGGAUGUGGGUAUCGCUGGUCAGGACAGCAUUUGUUGUUCAUCCCUAAUUUACCUUGAACUGAUGACAGAGGGUGGUUAGGGGUCAACCAUUUUGUUGUGGGCCACAAGCCACUUGUAUUGUAGACCAGGCAAGGACUUCCCUUCCAAAGGGAUGUGAAUGAAUGGGAUUUCAGGAAAUUAAAGUCAUGGCCUCUGUUCCUGAAAUUCAGGUUUACUUUCCAGAUUUUAUUCACUGAAUUUAAACUCCAGCAGCUGCUGUGUCUCAGUCCCCAGGGAUUACUUGGAUGUAUAUCACCACUGCACUGCUAUCUCGCUGCUGCAUUACCUUACUGUAGAGAAUAACUUUCACUGUUCGGAUCUACCCAGAGCAACAGAGAUCAGCAGAAGGUCAUUGAGACCAUCACGUUGGUGUUAGUUCCUGGUGAGAAAAGGAGUGAGUGAAAGGGAAAAGUAUCAGCUGGUGCAUGUUUGCAGCACUUACAGUGUGUCCAUGUCAGGAUAAAUGCAGAUUGAAGUGGUCGCUGGGAACAAUAAGUUGAUGCAGAGACAAUGUGAGCACAAUUAACUUAGCUGCUACUGCCUAGGUAGUAAACAUCAGUUUGUUGGUGUAAACAGCAGAGAAUGGUUUCAAUCCAGUGACGUCUGGGUGAUGGGCCCAGUGUGCUCCCAUUACAACACACACGGCUGGGUAACUCACAACUGAAAUUUAUUGUUACUUCCUUCUUGCUUGUGAAUGGAAGCACGCUUAUUGACUGGCCUUCCUGGCUGUACAGUUCCACAGUGUCACACCGCACAGAAUGUGACAGGCAGAAGCACGCACACACACAGCAAUGUAUGAUUAACAUACACAUAAUGUCAAAGGGGCCAAGCAGACCAGCAACUCACUCAGGUGGACAGGCUCAUGAUUUGACUGAACUUUCGGUAAACACUGAACCAACAGUUAGAUUCCUCAUUCUGAAGAGCUCGAAAGAAGGGUGUCUGAACCGGGAACAUUAACCCUGCUUUCAUACACCUCUAUAACCUUGUAGAAGGACCGUGUGCUCACCGAUUGCAUCACUGGAGUCACAGAGUAGCUCCGCGUGCUCACUGCCAUUCCCAUUUCCGGCUGUAUCUGCACAGCUGGGCCAGAGUUUUUCUAAUUCCAGGCCUGGGAACUGGGAUUAUAUGGUCUUCUGCAGUAGUGGCUAUUUCCUUGUGUGAGGGAA